rnacentral:ncRNA from 1 species
CGAAGCUCCGGAAAGUGGGGGGUCUGCCCUCACGCCGAAGGUGCAACCGGCGAUCAGCGCCGGGAAUCUCUCAGGCAAGAAACGGAGG